rnacentral:tRNA from 3 species
GGGAGCUUAGUUAAAUGGUAUAACUGCGGUCUCCAAAACCGCCGUCGAGGGUUCGAUUCCUUCAGCUCCCGCCC